rnacentral:lncRNA from 1 species
AUGAGCCUGUGAUGGUUGUCACAUUCUUGAUGACAGUAUUCAUUAUUUUCUCUAAGGUGCACUCUGAUCAGAAUGCAUACACAUCUGUAAGUGUCCUUUUGGUGUAUGCUUUGGAAUGACUAUUUUAGGAGAAAUUUCCACCUCACCAAAACCUGGUGAGAUUAGUGAUGAUCCCAAAGCAUUUAAAACAAAUUGAAAGGGUUAUUCAGAAAGACCUGGAUGGCUCCUAUUCAUCCAAAGAACACCAUAUAGUGAGAGAGUCCUUAUGGCUCUCCAACAACUGAAAAUGUGGAGAAACCAACUACCAUUGAUAUAAUUGCCUAUAAUAGGUGCACCUUUGAGACUGCAAGGCAUAAUUGGAUAAUAUAAUGUCAACAGAGGACUUCCUGUUGCCAUAUCAAGCAGAAAUCUUCAUUAAAAAUAUAAAUGUGUAAGAAAUAUUGGCCAGAAAGGUUCUUGGAAACUUUGUCAGGGUGGAGAAAAAUGUGCUGUGGCCAGAGGACUGAAUGCCAUAAACAUCACAUUGGCCCUAGAUAGGGCAGCAUGGUUCUGCUUCCUAUUAAUGGCCCAAAGGGGGACAUUUUCAUCAGGAUUGGUGCCAAUGUCCCAUUUUCUUCUUGAUUACAAGAUGUUGAAAAUCCAUAGAAUUCAUUGAGAUGCAGUCAAGAAAUGGAGCCUGUAAUAACAUGUGCUAAAAAAUUGUAUAUUCCGUUUUACAUUGACUGGUGCAAAAAUUCAUUUGGUUGAUAAAACAAAGCAAGUGGCCACCUAUCCAGAAGUGAUUCGUGGAGGGGGAAUUUUAGUGAUGAUGGAGAGUACAAACUCUUUUCAAAAUGACUGUCUGAAAAGCAGACAAGUACGUGGAUUUCUUAAUUAUACUGGCUGUGUCCUCAGCAGUAGCUACUGGUCCUCUUUCUGGUACUUCCUUACAUCAUGCACUGUUGACAGAAAGGAGUAGAAAAGAGAAACAUGCAAACAUCAGACAUCCAACUGGUCUGUCACAGUGCUAUUCAGAAAUUUGCCAAGGAGCUUCAAGACACAUCCAAGAGUAGAAAGACAGCAUGGCCCCCAUCAACACUUCCUGUGUCUCACUUGUAACUGGUGAAAUCAUACCUUCCCUGUACACAGAGAACCAUGAUAGCACUAACACGCAAAUGCAGCAGAAUUUGUGACAUCCAAUUCAGGUUCCUCAACAACAAAGUACAAGUAAAUGUCAUCCCUGA